UACGGGGGGGGGCAAGCGUUGUUCGGAAUUACUGGGCGUAAAGGGCUCGUAGGCGGCCAACUAAGUCAGACGUGAAAUCCCUCGGCUUAACCGGGGAACUGCGUCUGAUACUGGAUGGCUUGAGUUUGGGAGAGGGAUGCGGAAUUCCAGGUGUAGCGGUGAAAUGCGUAGAUAUCUGGAGGAACACCCGUGGCGAAGGCGGCCGGCUGGGCCGUCCCUGACGCUGAGGCGCGAAGGCGUGGGGAGCGAACGGG
rnacentral:rRNA from 1 species